CGCAUUUUCUGGGCGGAAACACGCAAAAAGCCGCUUAUGAUUGGAUCACUCCCUUAUCUACUGGGGGCGCCUUGAUCGCGCCGAAAACCUCUCCGUUUGGAUUGCUUGCUGCCUAUCCAAGUCGAUUUGCUGCUGGGAGCCCAGCGCGCUACGCAAGCUCAUCGCCGCAUUUUACCUUUCCUGGGGAGGACUCGGCGCGCCUGGCGGAUCAGGUUGUGGGCGGAUCAAGUCGCGGUCACGUGGAAUUUGUGCUUUGUGACUGUUUGAGGUGGGUUUUUUUUCUUGGGAGGCUGGGCGGCGCGAAGAGAGGGAGGCUUGUGGUAGCGUCGGGGCUUGUCUCUAGCAAAGUAAGUCCUUGCUAUUUGGUCACAUGCGCAGCAUUCUCCUUGUGGGGGUGAGGUGGCUUCGGCGUUCCAACGCUUGCCUUGCUGGCUGCUUUCAAAAGCGUCGGAAUCAGCUGUGCUGUUGCUGGGUAACCAGAUCGUCCCAGCAGCCAUCUUAUCUGCCCAUGUGGUCUUCUGAGGCGGCCGCCAUCUUACUAUAGGCAAUUCCACGUGGGAGUUAGUUGCCUGAAGCCCCUUUUUAGUUGCCUGAAGCCCCUUUUUAAACUUAAGCAGGGGAAAGUUUGGUGAAUAGCUAACACUUUCCUUGGGGAACGUUAUGCAACAGCUUAUUGCUGGCCUUUGUCGUCCCGCCUUUGUAAGCAGGCUGCAUUGAAAGGGGGCAUAUACACUGGUCACUGUUUUGAAGGGGAGUGAAGAACACACACUCAAAAAAAGGUACUGCCAACACUAAAAUAAAAAACAGAAAUGUCUGCAAUGCUUAACCCAAAUUAAUUAGAAAGAGAGAAUGAGAGAGCAACAGAGGAUCCACUGGAGUCAAUGGAAAGAAUUCAAGUCACCUACAAAGGACUUUGGAUCAAGCUUUUAAUCACAGUUCUAAUCCUGCUGUCAGCUGUAGCAAGUGAUAAACGCUUCGCUAAUGUUAUCUAGGUAGCCCUCCACCAGGUGCAUGACAAGGACUUUCCCUUUCCCAGUACAAUGCAGACCAUGGGCAAGGACUACAGCAAUAAAGCAGCAGCAACCAGCAUACAUUCAGCUGAUGCUAUGUCCAGAUGAAAGCAGUUCAGAUGAAGGGAAGCAGUCAAGCUGUUUGAACAGUACAGAUAUGUACCUACACAAGGGCACAUUGUGUUCACAAUGACAUUUUGUUGCAUACAGUGUUACCAGUUUGUUGUCACUAUGCUCUUUAACUCUGUAAAGAGGAGGAAAUCCCUCCAAUAUAGUCAAUAA